rnacentral:rRNA from 1 species
UACGGAGGGUGCAAGCGUUAUCCGGAUUCACUGGGUUUAAAGGGUGCGUAGGUGGGCAGGUAAGUCAGUGGUGAAAUCUCCGGGCUUAACUCGGAAACUGCCAUUGAUACUAUCUUCUUGAAUACCGUGGAGGUCAGCGGAAUAUGUCAUGUAGCGGUGAAAUGCUUAGAUAUGACAUAGAACACCAAUUGCGAAGGCAGCUGGCUACACGAAUAUUGACACUGAUGCACGAAAGCGUGGGGAUCAAACAGG